AAUGAUAUAAUAAUUCAAUAAAACAAGUUCAAGGAUAAAUUUUAAAGAUUUAUACUUUAAUUUAUCCAGAGAUCAAUAACGUCCAAAAUGUCAACAUGCUACUGCUUUGUAGAGUAAAAUUCAAGAAUAAUAUUCAUGUACCAAAAAUAAUUUGGACAGAAAAGAAAUAUAUUUUUUGGGUGAAUAGUACCCCGUGAAUAGUACUUCAGGAAUAGUACCCCGUGAAUAGUACCCCGACACGAAAAGUGUCCCGAAUACCCAAGUGAAUGAUACUAGAGUAAAUAGUAAUAGGGUGAAUAGUAACCCGUGAAUAGUAACUCGUGAAUAAUACUCCGACAUGAAAAGUAUCCCGAAUACCUAAGUGAAUAAUACUAUAGUGAAUAGUAACUGGGUGAAUAGUAACCCAUAAAUAGUAACUCGUAAAAGAAAAAUACCAAAGAAAAUGAUAUUCCAUGACGAGUACAAAAAAAAUGAUCAUCUCAUAUGAGUAUAAUAGAAUAUACGAAACUGCAAAUGGAUUUUCACCCGCCAUGCUGUAAUCCACGUAGACAGAUCAUUUCCAUAAUUUAAUAAAGAAUGAAUACGAAGGGUCAUUCACCAUGCAUGCGAUAAUCCACAAAGACAGGUUAUUCCAACAGAAUAAUAAAGAAUGGAAUAACAAAAGAAUUCACCAUGCAUGCGAUAGACCGCACAUACAGGUUAUUCCCAACGGAAUAAUAAAGAAUGGAACCAGGUCAUGCGUAAUCCGCACAGAUAGG
rnacentral:lncRNA from 1 species